UUUAAAUAUCUAGCACUGUACUUCCUUUGCAAUGUCCAGAGUGAUUUAAGAAUCGCUGUGUCAUAAUAACCUAUAAUGGGAGAGAAUCUGAAAAAUACUCUUUAUAUGAACCACUUACAGCUGGCACUAACACAACAGUGUAAAUCAACUGAGAAAUCAACUGAGAAAAAGAAAACGGCUAAUGUGUCCACGGAGCUCACCUUGCUACAGGACAGCACACAGGCUCAGACUCUCAGCCUAGAUGCCUGUGGAUUCCGACCCAGUGUAAAGCUUUAGUAAUAAUAUCAAAGAUACAGGUCACUGUGAGUCAACACACACAGCAGAAAGAGGUCUGUCACCCUCAGACAGUCUCGGGGGUCUUCCCAGCCAUAGCAGGCCUUCCCCGGCCACAUUAACUCAGAAAGCAACCUAAGAGACGUGCAUCACUGACAUGGAGGAGCGCCUUCUCAGGCAGGACGUUUUUCCACCUAAGGUGCCGUGUGCAGCCCUGCUGCACUCAGCCCACAGAUGCCAAUGCCGCCAUCUUGAGUGGAGAUGGCAUAGCCUCCCUUUGGCACCAGAAACUCCAGAGGGAAGAGCCUGGGGCAAGGCCUCCACGCAGCAUCCCAGGAGCAAAUAAAGCUGAACUAAGACAAAGGAAAAAACAAGCUAAAAGGUCUCUCUCUGCAAUCCCCAUUGCAAGAAUCGGUAGAUGUGGGGAGCUGGCAGAGCCCUGGAUGGGUGCGUGGAGUGCGGAUCGUGGGCCUCGACUUCUGUCAAAAGGACAUAUAUUAAAGCCCUGUGAGUGUCACAGAAGCCCUAUUAACUUCACACAAGAGAGGUGCUUUUAAAGUGCUGUGGAAAGUAGUUGUUGCUACACGGACUGUAAUCCUGUAAUCCCAGAGCAAGGUGACUCUGGUCAGCGCCACUUGUCCCUGAGGUUCUGGGAACAGCAUCCAAUACAACAUAGCCCACGUGGGCCACCAGGGUGGCUGCCGCCUCUUCUGCAGACCUGGGACCCUGGAGCACACCUGUGUACACAGCAUCUCUGCCGUUUCACGCACACGACACCGAUGCCUCGCACUCUUCUCUCCUCACGGGGAUGCUUUUUAAAGUCAAAGUCCUAGUGAUUGUAUCUCACUGAUGGGAAAUAGAUCAUAACCCUCUCAGGAAAGUCUGGGAAGCGUAGUUUUUAGUUUUUAGCAUUUUGAAAGGAAGUUGGGAUGAAUAUUGCCACAGACAAGAGUCAGAUUCUACCAUAUGUGCCUGUAAAAUUCCUGGCACAUCAAUAGACAUUCUUGGACUGAAUUCAAUAUAAUUAAAGAAAACAUUAUAAAAGCAAUCAGGC
ensembl:lncRNA